GCUGGCGUGGCCGAGUGGUUAUGGAGCACGCGCGUUUUGAAAAACGUUUUUGCUCAUGGGCAUGGGUUCGAACCCCAUCGGCGGCA
rfam:Aedes aegypti strain Liverpool supercont1.86 genomic scaffold, whole genome shotgun sequence.